rnacentral:lncRNA from 1 species
AUACAAGGAACGGCCAAAAACAUGCCUAAAGUGCCACCCAAAAAAUUCAAGCAGACAGACCUUCUGAGCUCCUUUAAACAGUCUCCUGUGAGUGACUGUUAUCUUUCCCAUCCUCUCUGGUUAGCCACUGCAUUAGAUUUAGGAUUAUUUCUAAUGGUAAUGUGUUGUUUCUUUCAGAAAAAGCAGAUUGCCACAGACAGUGAACCUGGGGAGACGUCAGUUAGUGACAAUGUUCAGAAAAGGAUGGCUCGUUCACGUAAGACAGAAGCUGAAGAGGGACCCUCAAGUCUGCAGCAGGCACAAACUGACUGGCAGCUGCCAUUAGCGGAGCCUUUACCGAUUACUUCCAUUGAUCAAGCAUUUGCCGCGGUCGUCUGUGAGCAACAUCACCUCCCAAUACAAACAUGCCCCAUAGUAUAGUUCAACCCCUCACAUUGAUUGACAGCUUUCCAUGUAGACAUCAGAAAUUUCUAUGGCAAAAGGAAUUGCAAUUUCA